UCUCUGGUGGAGCCGGGCGGAGCUUCUUGUUCAGUCUGUUUUAGUUUUGCCAACUUCUUCUGAGAAAACAACAGGAACGCUCCUGAGAGACCAAAACACACAUACACAAAUAUUACAUUACAGAUAUUCAUGUAGGACAUGCAAAAAUAUGUUAUGUAGCAAUUCACUGUCCUGGAUUCUCCUGAUCAAACUAAUGACUCCCAUUGAUCCAAAAUAACUCAAUAUGGUGGUUUAGUUUCCAAAAUAAAAUGUGUCUGAAAUGGGUUGCCAAGUUAAACAAACAGGGUUCAAGCCAACUUAAAUAUACGGUAAAUCUAAAAAAAAAUGUGAUUACAUAUCAGGCAGACAUCAGUCCAGCAUACACAUAAGAUCAUUUACUGCCAAGUCAAACUUUGCUAUCUACCUCUCCGUGGACAGGCCACCUCUCUCUUUGCUUUCCAUCGCUGGAUGGCUGCAAAGUGGCUACUGGCAGUCUGAGGGUCGAAACGGGCCAAAACCUCAUCCAGGCCCUGAGACCUCCUGAUCACCUGGUAGGAGGAAACACACAACUUGUUCUGUCAAAAUGUUCAGGUUUAUUUACUACUAAUCAAACAGGAAGUUGUGUUGUAAUCCGUCUUUUAUUCAGACAACGAAGACAGAAUCAUAGCUUUCAGUAUGAAGAGGAGAGGCUCACCCACAUCUAAAACAAACCAUGUUGGAGUUUCAACAGUAAAUCAAAGGGAAUUAAGAUUUAAUUUAUAUCUUAAUUUUCAGCAAAAGUCCAAAUACAGUUUCCACUGCAGAACCACAACAUUUUUUCUCUGGUGUCAAGCGGAUAUUUACUGAGUUUUUCCGUUUGGCUGCUUAAAUGAUUUAUAGUAGUAGUAUUACUACACACAUGAAAUCUAAUCACUUCAGUCAAUACAAAAUGAUGCAACAGACAGGACUGAUAAUGAAAACGCAAUCUACUGUACUCGGAAAGUGACCUGUUUACAUAGUGUCACUGAUACUGCAUUGUCCUUGGGCUUGCCAGUAUAACUGUGGUGCAAUACUAAAGUCCUUUUGUACUUUAAGGUUCAUAAAGGAGUAUUAUAUUUAAAGAAAUGAAAAGGCAAAAUUAAGAAUGUUCUUGCUUCCUGUUUGUAGUAUCAGACUAUUUAGAAAGCUAGACUGGAUUCCCAUAAGGUCAGACUGUCUCUGAAACGUCACAGAAACAAUACAGACAAAUGUUUGUGUAGAUUCACAGUCAUGCAGCUGUAGCGUACUGAGGAGCAGAACAUUCCAGAGCAACACACAAGGAUCUAAAGAUCCUUUCUCAAACCAUUUCAGGAGACAGAUAACCCAAAAUUCACCUCCAAAUGGAACAUCUGCUGACUGGAAGUUUGCAAAUAAAGGACCAUUAACGACUCUCUUGGAGACAACAGGAAUCACCACCGGAAUCUGAUAAGGGUCAUAAAAGUGUCAACUGUGAGGGAAACCACACCUCUGCAGGAGAGGACUGGCAUUCUGAUCUCCCGACCUAACGCACAGAACUUGGUAUGCAGGAAUGAAUUGAACAGUUUAAAACAGAACAUUAAGGAAAUGCAGCAUCACCAGAGUGACGAUCUGGACUCAGUCUCUGAUACCAGGUUGAUCAGGACCAGUAUGGAAGAAGAACACAUGGAAUCUGAAGUGUUUGUGGAGAAGAACAACCAAGAUACCAACACCCCACCUCUCUCUCUGUCACAGACCACAGCCAUAAAAGACACAGAGACUUUUUAAUUUAAGUGUAUAUACUCGCUAAGUCUUACUUUUCUUCUUAUUAAAGGUAUGUGCUUGUGUUUUAGCUAUGUUAUGAAUUUACUUUCAUGUAGCCUAAAUGAUUGAAUCUGACUCCAAAACUUUCUAUAAAGAGGAAAGUCACUGGAAUGCAAAGCGAUUUGGAAGAAAGGCUUGUAGAACAUGGGCUUGCAAGGCUCUCUCAGAAAAAUGGGCCCUUAGAAGAAGGCAAUUGGGCUUUAGAAUUACUUAAGAGAAAUGCUGCUUUGUUUAUGUGUUCCUGAACCAACUCAUCCUGUAGAUCAUCACAGCUCCACAUCCUGCAGCGGCCUCCCUCUCACUACUACAAAGGUCAUGACACCUGCAAAGACUUGCGGUAAAAAAGGAACUGGACGUCUCUUAGAUCUGACAGUACAUAUUUAUCCCCAGGGGCCAUUUUGAAGCGCCAUGGGGCCCAUGAACUACACCUUCACUGUGGCAGCCAUUUUGGCCAGUGGCAUCCACUGAGGGGGACGCACUGAAUUUGACAAGGCUGCACAUUUUCAGUAUGUUAACACACCGUGAAUUCUUUAUCUUCACUGCAGCCUUUGUGUUCACACCACUUGACAACAUCCUGAGAAGCUGAGUGAAACUGCGUCUAUGCUUUAGUGGAACCUUCUUGCUAUGGAACAAUAACCACAUGUUGAACGGAGAUUGGUCAUUUGGGUACGGCUUCUGUGGUUUCAUGGGCAGCAUGGUUGCAAAUGCAGAUCAGCAGCAGUGACACACAAAACACUUCUACAUGCAAAUACCUUCAUAUCGAUCAAAAGCUACUUAUUGGCAUUAAACAGUAGACCUAUUACUGACAUCAUUUGACAGAAUACAAAUCAAUUAAUAAACAUGCACCAGUAUUUUAAUAAUUCAAUUAAAAAUGAGUCUAUUUGCAUUUUUAUAGUAUGAAAAUAUACACAAAUACUGAGGUCAUAGCUAGAAGUGACCAAACUCGCUUGCACUACCAGCUCUGAUAUUUUGCUCAAACCAUACGAUCUAGUUCCACAGUCUAACUGGAGUUUAUCAGCCUGCUGAAUGUAAAUGUUAGCCAGUUUAUCUCAAGUAUUCCUACAUCUUCUAACAGCAUUUUAAGCAUAAUAUCAGGCCAAAUUAUCAAACCAGCUGAUCUGCGAGGUGGUUUUUGGAAAAUUCAUUAACAGUAUGAAAGGAAAUCCUGUGAAGCAUAAAGGUGCUAUCGUUGAUGUUUCCUACAGCUGCUAAUAGGCUAGAGCAGACAUAAAAGUAUGAGAGAAAAUGUAUUUUUGUCAUUGUUUGGGUUAAAAAGAAGGAGACAUGUAAAGAAAUAUAUCCAUUAGUGAGCACUGACCAAUGAGCAAACCACAGAUGCCGAAAAAUAUCACCACAUCUGAGGUUUAACUUAAACCUAGUGCACAAUUGGUUUGUCAGAUAUAUGAGGUUUGAGAUGAGGUUAAGCUUACAUCAUUUGCCAAACUGUCAAAAAAAUAUGAGCUAAAGCAUCAUGGCUCCAUUUAGUCACCAAAGUACAGCAGAAUCUGCAUCAACUGCAAAGUAAAAGGUUUAAAAUAUAAUCACAAGUAAUAAUAAGAACUACAUCUCAGCUCAGCCAAAAAGAGACGUUGCCAUCUGUCACCAGGAAAAAUAAACAUGCUUUAUCAUAUGGGUUUAGAAUUUGACAUUGUCACAGAAGUUUCAUGCUUGUGUUUUGUUUUGUCAUACCUCAUAGUUGUCCUCUAUGAAGGGAAACUGUCGUGGCUGCAGGAACUGAGUCUUGGGGAUGUCCAAUCCAUCUUCACCAUAUAGGAACUGCACCACUGAUCCAUCACUGUCCCUCACUGUCAGGUCGUACUGCACCACCAAACCCUCCAGAUGCUUAAUCACACAUCUGCAGAGGAGAGGAUGUGAGAGAGGAAAGAAGAUAAGCAGAGGACUGGCUCAGCUAUGGAUGACACAAACAAUCCUAAAUAAAUUAGUGUUUAUUUGCAAAUGCCACAAGGAAACAUUUCCCUCAAAAAAAAAAAAAAAAAAAAAAAAAAUUAAAAGAUGGUUUCGGUUGAAUUCGACUCAACCGUGUCUGUACUUUCGGCAGCUGGGAUCACAGCUGGAUCAAAGAAAGCUUCAUAUUUGGUUUAGAAACUCCCACUGACACCAAUACAUCCAUGAUUUCAGUCAUGCCCGAACUAAAUACUGACCAAAAUCUGUCAACAUUUGCAUUGCUAACUACAGCAAAGCUCAUAUAAAGUUGGUUACCUCUGCAGAUAUCCUGAUCUUGAUGUUUUCACAGCUGUGUCGACCAGCCCUUCUCUACCGGCCAUACAGUGGAAGAAAAACUCCUAAAAACAACAACAACAACAUUACACACAAGUAAAGAAAUGUAUCAUGACAUAACAAGAGUGUUCAUAAACAACUGUAAGGCCUAAAGCUGAAAAAUCAUAGUAGUGAUGUUUAAUAAAGUGUUCAAACUCCUUCA